rnacentral:misc_RNA from 1 species
UCUGAUGAUAACUGUUGAUUCUGAUAAAGUCUCUGCCCCUUCAAAAUGGUAUCAUGUUUUGGUGACAAUGUGCUGUAAGUCCUAAGAGAGGCCAGCUGCCUUCGAACUGGAGCCUCAGAACAAUCACCAGUAAUUCUGGGCAUAACUUCCUUAUCCACAUAGACAGAUUCAACGUUUAGGGCUGCCAUCCUCUGUCUCUGAAAAUUCUCCAUCUUAUGUCCUGAUUCGUUGCUGAAGCAGUUUUGGGCAUCAUUUUCUCUAUUAUCUUGAUUCCGAGCUGAAGGAGAACUUGCAUUCUCUGAAGAGAUACUGCAAGGAACAAUAGAACAAAGAGGAUCCACCAAAGAUUGAUUACAAGAUCCAACCUCUUGGGAAAUCAAAAUCCCCUCAUCAGCUUUUUCUAGUACACCUUCAAAGGGUAUGCUAGACGGUGAAGCUAUCUUGGAUCCAGCUUCAAGUUUCCGGACAAAAGAGUUCUCAUCAGCAGCAACAUCUGCAGACUCAGAGAGAAAGCUUGUCUCACCACCAAAAAAAUUCAGUAUGCCUUUAGUGUUGUUCUGCUUCAACUUUGCAGAAGCAUCAGCUUCCUUCACUGUCCAACCACCCAACCAGCGGCUUCUGAAUCUAUCUGCAACUAAAUAACAUUCUCUACCUUCAGCAUUUUCUGAAAUACAAGCCGGAGAUGAGCUUAUAUCAUCUGAAGGCUGAAAUUUCAUCAGAUUAAAGUCAACACCUUGAGAGAGGGAAAUUAUAUGAAAGAAAAGCAGCAGGUACUGACUCCAGAACCUGCUGAUCUUCAACUCCCAUCUUUAUUAAAUUUGAACCAUAUAAGGAGAAGAUAGCUGAAUUAACUGAAUAAAAGGAAAACUCGAUAAACAAAAAGAUAACUUUCCAUUAUGCCUGUCUCUUCUAGAUAGAUAAGCAUUGGCAGUGGCUACAAGGAGAAAAAUUUUACCUGUGCCAUUGCUGAAACAUGUGAAAUUUUCUCAGCAGGCUGAUGUAAGAUGGGAUCAACAAGGCUUGCCACAUUAGAGACCUCCAAACCCAGAGCCGAACCAUCAGAAACUUUAUCUUGUUGAGACAUGAGUACAAGAUUGGAUUCAUUGUUAUGCCUAUAAUGAUUUUCCAAUACAGGAGUAUCCUUCACUUGAGAGGCAUCUGAACCGCAAGCAUGCUGACCAUCAGGAUUGUUGAGAGAUAACCCCACAUCUAGAAAGGCAUUCUCCAUAAUUAAGUCAUCUAAGUCUGAAAGAAAAUCAAUCUCAUCAAUUUCUUCAGACGAGCAGCAGAUGCCAUCUUCUAAAGCCUCCAACCGUGCUUGCUUAACCCGAAGUGCAGCUUCAAGAAUAGUUCCUGUUGGCAAAAAUUCUAAAGUUGAUCCAGUUAUCAUCAAUUCAUGUAUAGCCAAUGCUUCAGAUGCAGCUAUAGAAAGUUCAACUGCAUCACUGACAUCAGCAUCUUUGAUGUGUCUAACAUUUAAUUUUUCUUCAUGCUGUCUGCUGUCCGUACACUUGGUGCGAGAUGAAUGACCAGCAUUCUCCAUUAUUGGAGAGUCGGAUUUUGUUAUUACUGCACCAGCAUUAUGAUAAACUUCUUCUUCAUAAUGCCUCGCAAAUUCUUCAUUAUUGGUUGGAGACUCUGGACAAACUUUCUCGACAGCUAUUGGGACAGAAGUCAGAUUUGAAAUUUUUACACCAUCAACCACUUUUGAUUGACAUGCUUUCUGUUGUGAGCCACCAGAUGCUUCAACUUGUGGCAAUAACAGAACCUUACUAGAGCCAAGCAGGGCUUGAGAUGCACACAAAUCCUGGGUUUGGCUAUGUAUUGAUUCCCCGUAUGAAGAUAGAUGCAAACGAAGAUGCAGUGCAUUCCCUGGCGAAAGAGAAGCGCUAUUUUGGGAAGUAUCUUCUCCAGACAAGAACAAGUGACAACUAUUGUAUCUACCCUCUUCCCUUGAAAAAGUUUGUAAUUGACUAUUAACAGUUUGGGGUUCCUUUAAGUGGUUAGUAUCAGAUGAUUCUACUUGAAGAUUCUGAAGCCAAGGAGGUAGCCAAGCUAAAUCCUCAGAGAAUUGAGGAGGACGAAACCCUAAGCUGGCCAUGAAAAGUUGGAAAGAGCGCGAGAUGUCGAGAGGGAACUUUCG